rnacentral:rRNA from 1 species
CACGUAGGGUGCAAGCGUUGUCCGGAAUUAUUGGGCGUAAAGGGCGCGUAGGCGGCCACUGCAAGUCGGUUGUGAAAUCUCCGGGCUUAACCCGGAAAGGUCAAUCGAUACUGCAGUGCUAGAGUGCAGAAGGGGCAAUCGGAAUUCUUGGUGUAGCGGUGAAAUGCGUAGAUAUCAAGAGGAACACCUGAGGUGAAGACGGGUUGCUGGGCUGACACUGACGCUGAGUGCGCGAAAGCCAGGGGAGCAAACGGG